GUUCGGUGUGCCAUGCUGAGCGCCGGACGGUCAGGCAGGAAGCCGGUGUGAAUCCGGCGCGGUCCCGCCACUGUUACCGGGGAGUCGACCUCAGCGGAAGGUCACGGCGGCCGUAGGCCGCUGGAAGGCCGAGGUUCGAUGCCGAUCCGGGUAGCCAGGAUACUGCCGCCGUCCGUGGCUGCUUC
rnacentral:ncRNA from 1 species